UUAAUCCAUACAACGUAUUUCUCUCUACCGCCGAUCUUGUGUGUAUAUAGCGAGGACGUUACGGAGAGACGACGAAGUCCCUAUUGUGUCCAAAACGAGCCCCGGAUUCAUGGGCCAGCGAGUCUACUUGCGGAGGCACUCCCGAUUCUUCGCUGUCACGCGUAAAAUACACUCUUCUUUUUCGACUCUUACAGGUGAUUCUGGCUGUCAAUGUAUGUUCAAGGAUUUUCGAGGCGAUCGAGAUUUACGAGACGCCUGCAGUUUUCUGGACUAUUUUAUUUAUUUAUAAGCCAGGAAUCUCAAGUCAGACGAAGAUUUUUCCAAAUGUAAUAAAUGCAUUGUGAAAAUAAAGAAAUUAAUACUUCACUUCAAA